AGGGGACAAUGAUCGAAAGGACAUGGAUGUGAUUUCGUUCACUUUCUCAUCCCCUAUCAAGGGUUUAUCAUCCAAUUCACGAUCUUCUGCUAAAAUGACUGAUCAAGAUACAGAAUCAGUACUUGGUUUCAAUAAGAUUGACAGUGAUUCUCUUAAUUUACUGUUGGAGAAAAAGCUCAAAGAGCUAACCUCUAAGAUUGAGUCAUCUUGCAGUAGUGUUACCCAAGAAGAAGAGUCGUCGGGUUCCAUUACAAAGGAUUGGGUGAACGGGACAAUAUCUUUGCCGUCAGAUGAUCUGGAUAAUGGUUUAUCAGAGAGUGAAUCUGUCUCUGAUUGUAGUUCAUUAUAUAAUAAUAAAAUAUUCCAGGUUAGUCAUAUGGCCGGUUCCUUUCUCUGCUCAAGAAUAGGUCUACUUUUAGUAGCUUAUCACUGUUUCUAUAAUUCAAUAUAUAUGUUUUACCGUAAGGUUUUCUAACUCACUGACCUUUAAAAUUUUCAUAUUUCCUAUGACACAGGCAGAAGAAAAUCAGGAAGUCAACAGCUUCAGCACAGCAAGAAAUCUCCAAAUCUCCAGCAGCA
rnacentral:lncRNA from 1 species